GCCAAACCUCUAGCCCCACUAAUUAUCAUUUAAAUCAGUUUAUUUAUUACACCAUAUCAAAACAUUUUUAUAAUUAAGUAAAGGCGAUAAAAAGAUUUUUUAGAGCAAUAUAAACAGUACCGUAAGGGAACGAUGAAAUAAAAAUGAAAUAAUUGUUAAGCACAGAAAAGUAGAGACUUCUCCUCGUACCUUUUGCAUCAUGGUUUAACUAGUCCCCCUUAGGCAAAAAGACUUUUUAGUCUAAUUUCCCGAACCUAGGCGAGCUACUUUAAGACAGCUUUUAGAGCCAACCCGUCUCUGUCGCAAAAGAGUGGGAAGAUCUUACAGUAGCGGUGAUAGACCAAACGAGCCUAGUGAUAGCUGGUUGCUUUUUAAAAGGAUUUUAGUCCACCUUAAAGUCACCCCUAUUUUCCCCCACAAAAAAUUUUAACUUUAAAGUAAUUCAAAUAAGGCUCAGCCUAUUUGAAAAAGGAUACAACCUACACCACUGGGUUACCCUGCCAACAAAAAUAAAGUAGGCUUAAAAGCAGCCACCUUGAGAAAAAGCGUCAUAGCUUACUCUAUUCUCUACACAUAAUGUCCAAAAUUUCCCUCAACCCUUCACCACCAAAAAGCAACUCUAUAUUUCUAUAGAAAAUUUUAUGUUAAAACUAGUAACAAGAAGUAGCCCUUCUCUAAAAUGUACUUGUACAUCAACACGGACCCCCCAUUGAUAAUUAACGUAUUUAAACCCACAGCAAACCCCCUUCAAGAAAACUCUGCUAUCACCAACGUCGCCCUGACACAAGAACAUUUAAAGAAAGAUUAAAAAAUAAAGAAGGAACUCGGCAAACAUUAGCUUCGCCUGUUUACCAAAAACAUCGCCUCCUGAUAACCUAUAAGAGGUCAAGCCUGCCCAGUGACACUGUUUAACGGCCGCGGUAUCCUAACCGUGCGAAGGUAGCGUAAUCACUUGUUCUUUAAAUGAGGACUAGUAUGAACGGCUUCACGAGAGCUGUGCUGUCUCCUUUAUUCAAUCAGUUAAACUAAUCUUCCCGUGAAGAAGCGGGAAUACCCAUAUAAGACGAGAAGACCCUAUGGAGCUUUAAACACUUCAAAACACUUGACCUACUUCAUCAAAAAUUCCCAAAACCUCUACUAAGCCUGUCACCCUGUUUAAAGUUUUAGGUUGGGGCGACCACGGAGAUAAACCUAACCUCCACGUAGAAAGAAACUUCUUUCCUAAGCAAAAAGCCACACCUUUAUGCAUCAACACAUUGACUUAAAUUGACCCAAUUACUUGAUCAACGAACCAAGUUACCCUAGGGAUAACAGCGCAAUCCGCUUUAAGAGCUCCUAUCGACAAGCGGGCUUACGACCUCGAUGUUGGAUCAGGGUAUCCUGGUGGUGCAGCAGCUACUAACGGUUCGUUUGUUCAACGAUUAAAACCCUACGUGAUCUGAGUUCAGACCGGAGUAAUCCAGGUCAGUUUCUAUCUAUAAAGAGCUUUUUCUAGUACGAAAGGACCGAAAAAACAUGGCCAAUGCCAAAAGUAAGCCAUCUUUUCUAAAUUAUGUUAUAACCUUAAUAACUAUUAACCCUGGCACUAACUUUAAGACCAAAACA
rnacentral:rRNA from 1 species